AUAUUCCUGUACCUCUUGGUAAUGCGAUGGGGGGACGGAGAAGGUUAGGUCAGCCGGGUGUUGGACGUCCCGGUUCAAGCGUUUAGGCAGGUCUCUUAGGCAAAUCCGGGAGAUCAAUGUCGAGGCGUGAUAACGAGUGGCUUCGGCCGCGAAGUGAUUGAUACCCUGCUUCCAAGAAAAGCCUCUAAGCUUCAGUUAUCCAGAGACCGUACCGCAAACCGACACAGGUGGGCAGGAUGAAAAUUCUCAGGCGCUUGAGAGAACUCAGGAGAAGGAACUCGGCAAAUUUGCACCGUAACUUCGGGAGAAGGUGCGCCCUGAUAGGUUGUAGCCCCUCGCGGGUGAAGGCUGAAAGGGUUGCAGUGAACUGGUGGCUGCGACUGUUUAAUAAAAACACAGCACUCUGCAAACACGAAAGUGGACGUAUAGGGUGUGACGCCUGCCCGGUGCCGGAAGGUUAAGUGAUGGGGUGCAAGCUCUUGAUCGAAGCCCCGGUAAACGGCGGCCGUAACAAUAACGGUCCUAAGGUAGCGAAAUUCCUUGUCGGGUAAGUUCCGACCUGCACGAAUGGCGUAACGAUGGCCACACUGUCUCCUCCUGAGACUCAGCGAAGUUGAAAUGGUUGUGAAGAUGCAAUCUCCCCGCGGUUAGACGGAAAGACCCCAUGAACCUUUACUGUAGCUUUGCAUUGGACUUUGAACCGACUUGCGUAGGAUAGGUGGGAGGCUGUGAAACCGGGACGCUAGUCCGGGUGGAGCCAACCUUGAAAUACCACCCUGGUUUGUUUGAGGUUCUAACCACGGCCCGUGAAUCCGGGUCUGGGACCGUGCAUGGUAGGCAGUUUGACUGGGGCGGUCUCCUCCUAAAGUGUAACGGAGGAGUACGAAGGUACGCUAGGUACGGUCGGACAUCGUGCUAAUAGUGCAAUGGCAAAAGCGUGCUUGACUGCGAGACCCACACGUCGAGCAGGUACGAAAGUAGGUCAUAGUGAUCCGGUGGUUCUGUAUGGAAGGGCCAUCGCUCAACGGAUAAAAGGUACUCUGGGGAUAACAGGCUAAUACCGCCCAAGAGUUCAUAUCGACGGCGGUGUUUGGCACCUCGAUGUCGGCUCAUCACAUCCUGGGGCUGUAGUCGGUCCCAAGGGUAUGGCUGUUCGCCAUUUAAAGUGGUACGUGAGCUGGGUUUAAAACGUCGUGAGACAGUUUGGUCCCUAUCUGCCGUGGGCGCUGGAAAUUUGAAGGGGGCUGCUCCUAGUACGAGAGGACCGGAGUGGACGAACCUCUGGUGUACCGGUUAUGACGCCAGUCGUAUCGCCGGGUAGCUAUGUUCGGAAGAGAUAAACGCUGAAAGCAUCUAAGCGUGAAACUCGCCUUAAGAUGAGAUUUCCCCGGGGACUUGAUCCCCCUGAAGGGUCGUGGUAGACCACUACGUUGAUAGGCUGGGUGUGGAAGCGCAGCAAUGCGUUCAGCUAACCAGUACUAAUUGCCCGUGAGGCUUGAUCCU
rnacentral:rRNA from 1 species